GCCCUUUGCCUGCUUGCUGUGUGAGACUGAGUAACUACUAGAUCCUUGGACUUCUAUUCACAGCUGCGACUGAACCAUUGUUGGGAAUUGGGCUGCAGACUGUCUUUCAGCGGAAUCCGGAUCGUGGCGGCCACGGCCACGGCCACGGCCACGAUGGCGACGUCUGGCUCGGCCAGGAAGCGGCUGCUCAAAGAGGAGGACAUGACCAAAGUGGAGUUCAAGACGAGCGAGGAGGUGGACGUGACCCCCACGUUCAACACCAUGGGCCUGCGAGAGGACCUGCUGCGCGGCAUCUACGCCUACGGUUUUGAAAAACCUUCAGCGAUCCAGCAGCGUGCUAUCAAGCAGAUAAUUAAAGGGAGAGAUGUCAUUGCACAGUCUCAGUCUGGCACAGGCAAGACGGCCACCUUCAGUAUCUCAGUGCUGCAGUGCUUGGAUAUCCAGGUUCGAGAAACCCAAGCUUUGAUCCUGGCUCCAACCAGAGAGUUAGCGGUGCAGAUUCAGAAGGGUCUGCUCGCUCUGGGGGAUUACAUGAACGUGCAGUGCCAUGCCUGCAUUGGGGGCACCAAUGUCGGGGAGGACAUCCGGAAGCUGGAUUACGGGCAGCAUGUGGUGGCAGGCACACCGGGACGCAUCUUUGAUCUGAUCUGCUGGAGAAGUUUACGAACACGGGCUAUCAAGAUGCUGGUUUUGGAUGAGGCUGAUGAAAUGUUGAAGAAAGGUUUCAAGGAGCAGAUCUAUGAUGUGUACAGGUAUUUGCCACCAGCCACACAGGUCGUUCUCAUCAGUGCCACACUGCCUCAUGAGAUCCUGGAGAUGACCAACAAGUCUGGCUACUGGCAGAGCUUCAACACCAGUGAUAUUAUCUGUGAAGCACUGCAGAAAGACAUGUCUACUGCUUCUUCAUCAUGGGAUGCCUUCCUCCAGUAA